rnacentral:rRNA from 1 species
GAUGAACGCUGGCGGCGUGCCUAAUACAUGCAAGUCGAGCGAACAGACGAGGAGCUUGCUCCUCUGACGUUAGCGGCGGACGGGUGAGUAACACGUGGAUAACCUACCUAUAAGACUGGGAUAACUUCGGGAAACCGGAGCUAAUACCGGAUAAUAUAUUGAACCGCAUGGUUCAAUAGUGAAAGACGGUUUUGCUGUCACUUAUAGAUGGAUCCGCGCCGCAUUAGCUAGUUGGUAAGGUAACGGCUUACCAAGGCAACGAUGCGUAGCCGACCUGAGAGAGUGAUCGGCCACACUGGAACUGAGACACGGUCCAGACUCCUACGGGAGGCAGCAGUAGGGAAUCUUCCGCAAUGGGCGAAAGCCUGACGGAGCAACGCCGCGUGAGUGAUGAAGGUCUUCGGAGCGUAAAACUCUGUUAUUAGGGAAGAACAAAUGUGUAAGUAACUAUGCACGUCUUGACGGUACCUAAUCAGAAAGCCACGGCUAACUACGUG